rnacentral:lncRNA from 1 species
CGCGCGCGCGUGUGUGUGUAAUCCAUGGCGAAGAGGAAUGCGUUACAAACGCGGGCGAACAGAUGUACCUCGGCGCCCCGACCCGCCCGGCAGCUGCUUUGCGCAAAAAGCUGCUCCUCUGCCCCACAGCCGCGGAAUUACAUUAUUUUCUCUCAGUGUAAUCAUCUUUUUACCGAAGGACUUCGGAGAAGAGCGGGCCUGGGCAAGCUUGCGGGGUGCCCUUUCAGGGUGCCUGCCCUGCGAGAAGUGUGGCCGGAAGCCCACCACCACCAGGGCGCAGAGGGGAGAGAGGAGCGCAGGGCCUGCCUGCGUUCCAGCGCGCACUCGGGAAGCUGGUACGCGGCGUCGAGGAUCGGGGAGGAAGGGAG